GGCUGGGUGAAGCAUAAUCUACCAUCUGGGACAUGUCAUAAAGCAAGUUCCCAACCUAAGAGCUGCCACAUAUUAAGUGCCCAGGAGCUGAUUGAUAAUAUCCUGGUUAUUCUCUGAAUAUCUAAGGCAUGGUAGACUCUGCUGCUGACUGCUUCUGGUUCCGGUCCACCUUAGUCUCACCCCUACCAGCUCUGAAAGCCACCAACAAGACCCAAGGAAAGGUGCACUCCUGAGCCACUUUAGCGUUUUAAUAGGAUCCAGCUCUUCAGAGGGGGCCUAUGAAGGAUUGCCUUGAUACCCAGAAGGAAGCCCUGUUAGUUUCCUAUGAAUGGAGAGGUAUAGAACAGCAAAGGCAAUGGGGAGUGAGAUCCUUUGACUUGGCAGAGACAGACAGAGUCCUGAGAAGAUAACUACUUGCCUUAUCAACCAUCCUGGAAGAAAACAAA
rnacentral:lncRNA from 1 species